GUGACUGAGUGGCGGACGGGUGAGUAACGCGUGGGUAACCUGCCUCAUACAGGGGGAUAACAGUUAGAAAUGACUGCUAAUACCGCAUAAGCGCACAGUAUCGCAUGAUACAGUGUGAAAAACUCCGGUGGUAUGAGAUGGACCCGCGUCUGAUUAGCUGGUUGGUGAGGUAACGGCUCACCAAGGCGACGAUCAGUAGCCGGCCUGAGAGGGUGAACGGCCACAUUGGGACUGAGACACGGCCCAAACUCCUACGGGAGGCAGCAGUGGGGAAUAUUGCACAAUGGGCGAAAGCCUGAUGCAGCGACGCCGCGUGAGGGACGAAGGCCUUCGGGUUGUAAACCUCUUUCAGCAGGGAAGAAGCGAAAGUGACGGUACCUGCAGAAGAAGCGCCGGCUAACUACGUGCCAGCAGCCGCGGUAAUACGUAGGGCGCAAGCGUUAUCCGGAAUUAUUGGGCGUAAAGAGCUCGUAGGCGGUUUGUCGCGUCUGCUGUGAAAGCCCGGGGCUCAACCCCGGGUCUGCAGUGGGUACGGGCAGACUAGAGUGCAGUAGGGGAGACUGGAAUUCCUGGUGUAGCGGUGAAAUGCGCAGAUAUCAGGAGGAACACCGAUGGCGAAGGCAGGUCUCUGGGCUGUAACUGACGCUGAGGAGCGAAAGCAUGGGGAGCGAACAGGAUUAGAUACCCUGGUAGUCCAUGCCGUAAACGUUGGGCACUAGGUGUGGGGGACAUUCCACGUUUUCCGCGCCGUAGCUAACGCAUUAAGUGCCCCGCCUGGGGAGUACGGCCGCAAGGCUAAAACUCAAAGGAAUUGACGGGGGCCCGCACAAGCGGCGGAGCAUGCGGAUUAAUUCGAUGCAACGCGAAGAACCUUACCAAGGCUUGACAUGAACCGGAAAGACCUGGAAACAGGUCCCCCACUUGUGGCCGGUUUACAGGUGGUGCAUGGUUGUCGUCAGCUCGUGUCGUGAGAUGUUGGGUUAAGUCCCGCAACGAGCGCAACCCUCGUCCUAUGUUGCCAGCACGUUAUGGUGGGAACUCAUAGGAGACUGCCGGGGUCAACUCGGAGGAAGGUGGGGAUGACGUCAAAUCAUCAUGCCCCUUAUGUCUUGGGCUUCACGCAUGCUACAAUGGCCGGUACAAAGGGCUGCGAUACCGCGAGGUGGAGCGAAUCCCAAAAAGCCGGUCUCAGUUCGGAUUGAGGUCUGCAACUCGACCUCAUGAAGUUGGAGUCGCUAGUAAUCGCAGAUCAGCAACGCUGCGGUGAAUACGUUCCCGGGCCUUGUACUCACCGCCCGUCA
rnacentral:rRNA from 1 species